ACGUAGCGUUAAGCUGGAGCAGUCUCAGCGCCGGCCGCCAUUUUGUGCAGUCGCUGGGAAGGAAGGAGACGCCUAAACCACGGCACUGCCGGGUUUGAGCGUAGCCACACCUACCCACUGUUUUUAUAAUCCCGAUUCUCUGUGUUUUGCUCCCGUCUCCGACGAGAGAGGCGGCGACGGUGGCGUCUGGGACGGGAGACAGCGCGUCGGAGCGAGAGAGCGCCGCGCCUGCCGCCGCCCCAACAGCGGAGGCGCCGCCGCCAUCGGUCGUCACCAGACCGGAGCCGCAGGCCCUCCCGAGCCCGGCCAUCCGUGCCCCGCUCCCAGAUCUCUAUCCGUUUGGGACCAUGCGCGGAGGCGGCUUUGGGGACCGGGACCGGGAUCGUGACCGUGGAGGAUUUGGUGCAAGAGGUGGUGGUGGCCUUCCCCCGAAGAAAUUUGGUAAUCCUGGGGAGCGUUUACG